rnacentral:rRNA from 1 species
CAGCCGCCGCGGUAAUACGGAGGGUGCAAGCGUUAAUCGGAAUUACUGGGCGUAAAGCGCACGCAGGCGGUCUGACAAGUCAGAUGUGAAAUCCCCGGGCUCAACCUGGGAACUGCAUUCGAAACUGGCAAGCUAGAGUCUUGUAGAGGGGGGUAGAAUUCCAGGUGUAGCGGUGAAAUGCGUAGAGAUCUGGAGGAAUACCGGUGGCGAAGGCGGCCCCCUGGACAAAGACUGACGCUCAGGUGCGAAAGCGUGGGGAGCAAACAGGAUUAGAUACCCCGGUAGUCCCUGUCUCUUAUAC